UACAAAAGGUAUUAAUUGCGUUUUGAUUUCAUUUCAUGGAAAGAACUAAUGGAACUGCCCAUUACGCAAAUUAUGGAAACAUUCCAUAUACACUAAAUUGAUAUUAAUUAGAUUUUAAUGGACGGUUAAAGUACAGGUAAUGGGAUUUUACACGAUAAAACCUGUUAUAUUAUCUUGUUCAUAAAGGGUUAUUAGAUCAAGAAAUUAAUUACCACUAAUAAAUCAUUUUAAAGAAGCAUCUGUCAUUGCACGAAAAACCUACACUUUUAGUGGCUGAUGAGAUUUAAAUUAAAAUUGAAAAACACAAACUUAUUUUAUCAGAUUAAAGAAUCGAAACAGGGCAAUGACAGAUAGUUGCAUACAUUGAUUGUUCUGCAUAAGAUCAAAAAUUUCUUUCCAAAUAUGAGUCUAUAAAAUAAUGAAUACUAAUAAACAAAUACAAAUAUUUACAGACGAAUUGAUUGCUAUUUAUCUCAACAUCAAUGAGAGUCUGGUAAACAUUAUAUUUAAUUCUCUUUAUCUGAUCAAACAUACGUGCAGUCACGUCUAUGAUAAAAGUACACAGGUAUGUAAACGUAGUAAAAAAAAAUAUUUAUGUAACUAUGUUACAUAUACACACAUCAUUUAAAAAAGAGAAAAAGAACCCUUAGAAGUACUAAUAAUUUGGCAGACAAUGGAAUGUCAAAUAUGGCACAAUCUUUGGCGCCAUAAUAUUUAUCCAAUGGAUAUCUGUCACUAAUCAGUCGAUAACGUUGUAAACGUCUCGCUGUAGGCAUUAUCGCCGUCACCUGAUAUUUCACUAAUACCUUUAAGUUAUAAUUGUAAUAUUUUGGGGAUGGUCCCACGUUUCACCCUUGUGAAACUCCUUUGAAGGACUCUUCAGACUUUCUCCUAUCUUUAGUAUCAAACCUUUUCGUACUGUUAUUGCAAAUGCGAAUCGAUGUAUUUAGAAUGUUUUAUUCAAAGACAUACUCAACGAAGCAUUUAAGAUAUUUGAAAAUCCUUUGGUUUGACUAACAUAACCCAAAAAUGUAUUGACUACGAAAACAUAAUGUAAAGUAAUUUAGAUAUUUGUUAUUUUGACAGCAAUUAGUAAUUGUAUGACCGGUCACGGAGAGUAUUUAAUAUCAGUAAUUAGUGAACAUAAUUUUGAUAAUUAUGGCACUUUAAUCACAAGCAGGGCGAUACGACAAACGUAAAGAGAUGACGUAUUUAUGAUAUCAUUUUUAUACAACUCUCGUAGUGAUAUUUUCGUCAAUGGAAGUGAGGUAUAUGUAUGAGGUCGAAAAGUCCAGAUUGAAAUGAAAUUUUCUGUUACUACACCAAAAAUCCCGUAGUCUUGUUUUGAUCAGCAUAUAACAAUGGGAUUAUUUUCCAUUUUGGGCCAAACGUUCGGAGAACAUACACUAUUUUUUUUGGCUUUUAUAGCAGGACAAGAAGAAUACGAGGACAGGAGGAAAACUUUAGGACAGUAUUCUGGAAUAUAAAGAUUUAUGACCUUGUAAAGAUAACAAGGUACUUACAGGGGCCCUCGAUACUACCAUAAGUAUAGUCUUAAUCUUUUUGCGAUUACAGCAACAUAUUUUUAGUUGCACAUUGCACAAAGCUUAUCUGUCAGUACUUAAGUAUAUUUGGCGACAAUGAAUAAAUAUUGGCGCAUGUAUCUUAGUGCAAUAAAACUGAUAAUUAUUUUAAAUCCUAAUUUAUUAGUGAGUAACAGAGUAGUUAGUGAAAAUAUGGCUCAUAUUCUUUUUAUUAGUUACCUAUAUUGAAUUUGACUUAUUAUGGACCACAAUGAAUACACCAGUGUCUCUGAGACUCACCGGCGU